rnacentral:rRNA from 1 species
UGAAUGGCUUGACGAGAAAUCAACUGUCUCUUAAUAAUUUUUAAAAUUUAACUUUUGAGUCAAAAGGCUUAAAUUUUUCUUUAGGACGAGAAGACCCUAUAGAGCUUAACAUUUUAUUUUUAUAUAGUUUUUAGUUGAUCUUUCUAUAUUUAAUGAUAAUGUUUUGUUGGGGUGACAUGAAGAAUAAUUAAACUCUUCAUUAUAAAAUCAUUGAUUUAUGUUUAUCAUGAUCCAUAAUUUAUGAUCAUAAGAUUAAGUUACCUUAGGGAUAACAGCGUAAUUGUUUUUGAGAGCUCAUAUCGACAAAGCAGAUUGCGACCUC